GACGAACGCUGGCGGCGUGCCUAAUACAUGCAAGUCGAGCGAAUGGAUGGGAGCUUGCUCCCUGAAGUUAGCGGCGGACGGGUGAGUAACACGUGGGCAACCUGCCUGUAAGACUGGGAUAACUUCGGGAAACCGGAGCUAAUACCGGAUACGUUCUUUCUUCGCCUGAAGAAAGAUGGAAAGAUGGUUUCGACUAUCACUUACAGAUGGGCCCGCGGCGCAUUAGCUAGUUGGUGAGGUAACGGCUCACCAAGGCAACGAUGCGUAGCCGACCUGAGAGGGUGAUCGGCCACACUGGGACUGAGACACGGCCCAGACUCCUACGGGAGGCAGCAGUAGGGAAUCUUCCGCAAUGGACGAAAGUCUGACGGAGCAACGCCGCGUGAGCGAAGAAGGCCUUCGGGUCGUAAAGCUCUGUUGUUAGGGAAGAACAAGUACCAGAGUAACUGCUGGUACCUUGACGGUACCUAACCAGAAAGCCACGGCUAACUACGUGCCAGCCGCCGCCGUAAAAC
rnacentral:rRNA from 1 species